rnacentral:rRNA from 15 species
GGCAACGAGCGCAACCCACAUCCCUAGUUGCCAGCAGGUCGUGCUGGGCACUCUAUGGAAACUGCCCGUGAUAAGCGGGAGGAAGGUGUGGAUGACGUCAAGUCCUCAUGGCCUUUAUGUCCAGGGCUACUAACGUGCUACAAUGGUCGGUACAGAGGGCGGCGAACCAGCGAUGGUGAGCGAAUCCCUUAAAACCGAUCGUAGUCCGGAUUGGAGUCUGCAACUCGAC